rnacentral:sRNA from 1 species
UCCUAGCCCAGACAGCAGCGGUAUCCUUUUGCUUGCUUCUUUAGCAAGGAAAAGAUACAAGCGUAUGGCUGGAAAAAGC